GUCUUCAUUCGUCCUAUCUAAGAGGUAAUGGAAAGAUAAAUGCUUUAUACGCUUGUUUUCUUCCUGGUAUAUAAUUAGUGUGCGGAACGUUUACCCCUAACAAUGAUGCCAUUACUUCAUCUGAUGAGUAUUUUAAUUGUUGGGAUUACAAAGGGUGUUUCAAUGAACUCCCCAUCUCUUAACACCUUGACGUCUUAUCGGGUUGAUGAGGGUCAAACAAUUAGUCUGAAAUGUUCGGUAUUUGUAACCGCAUCGGAGCUAAUCACGUGGUACUGGACAUGUGGAGAUGACGACCUGACACGGAAUUCUACUUCCAACGGAAAAAUUACGACACUGACGUUCAAAGCAGACAGAAAAUUCAACGGCAAAUAUUGUUACUGUACAGCUAAAUCCACAUCUCUAAAUCAGACGAAUGAAGUCAAAUCCAGGUUCCAGAGCAUACAAGUCUACUAUGCUCCUUUGUCGUCGCCAACUUUGAAUGCCUCACAAGUAGUUUUGACCUCUAAAAGCGAUACAACACUGCUCUGUUCCAUAGAAUCGCUUGGAAACCCUCCAAUUCGCUGGUCUUGGAAAUGCGGAACCCAGACAAUCCGUAGAAGGAUAACUAGCAUUGGUUUGACGUCCAAUAUUAUUCUCACAGCUGACCCAAAUCUAGAUGGCAAAUCCUGCUACUGUACAGCGGAGAGUAGUUCUUCAAGGUAUAGGUUCGAGGCGUCUUCAAAUGCUGCAGCCGUAACGAUUCUUUAUUUUCCAUCAGGCUUUCCUCGUAUCAGCAGGAGUUCAGCCAUUGUUAAAGUUGGAUUACCAGUUACCCUUCAGUGUUCAUUGCCAUCUGCAGGAAAUCCACAGGUCACGUGGUCGUGGCAUUGUAAUGGUGCUUUAAUUACCGAAAAUGUCAGGAAUAUGGGCCGAACCACAGAGAUCUCAUUUAUAUCAAAAAGGACGGGCGAAAAAGUUUGCCAUUGUAGAGCUAAAAGUAGCAUUUCGAGAAGUAUAGUUUCGUUCAUAUCUCGGGAAGACUUUGAACGAAAUUCAUCGAAUAGUUAUAUAAGAAUAACAGACACAGAUAUUGUGAAUUACUCAGAAGAAUCGAAGAAUAUUGGUAUUUCGCCCGCAGCAUUUGGAGCGACUUUGACCAUCCUUUUAGUUGUCAUUGUCACCUGCACUGCCCUCGUCGUUAUUCAACACAGAAGGAUUCCGAAAGAGUCAUCGUUGCUAUCUUGGUUCCUCGUCAAAAUAGGUAGACAACCAAGCACGAAAAGUGAGUCAGACGCUGGAGUUGUCACAGAGGAGCAUAGUUAUGAAGUACUACAAAGUGGAAACCAAAAGAAAAGUUAGUACUGUGUUUUAAUAGUGCGACCUCGGUCAGUGAAACCCAAAAUUUAUAUGUAAUGCCUUUAAUAACAGCUAUACAUGUAAAUACUGUAAGGUUGAACAACAUAUUAUCUGAGAUAUCGAGUAUUUCAUUCAACAUUUAUCACAGCAGGCGUUGACACAAUAAAGGACUCGAAAUACUAAAUACGGUCCUGGGCGCCUUUUGUGUUACAUGUACUUCACCUAAAGCUGUAAGACUGAAAAACAGUUGACCAAUAAAUUAUACACUGUACAUUUAUAGGCGUUCACUAAAACGAUAUCUAUAAUGAAGUUUAAAGCUUGGCUAGAGAAAAAUUGCAGAAUUUGAAUUUGUAAAAAGGGCUAACACGCUUGUUAAAAUGUCAGCUAUGAGGAAUAUUUAUUUUGUUGUUGAUUAGAAAACUGCAUUGAGAGUUUCACAUCAGAAACUCCGAAUGAUGAGAAUUUUAUGCAAAGAACAGUAUAAUUCAAUCUUGAUCAAUAGUGAGGAAAGUCAGUCAUUAGGUGUUCAUAUAAAAUCUACUCACGAUAUGCCCAAAGUGGAAUUUAAAAAAAUUGUAUGGCUGAUGCAAUUACGGAUCUUUAUUGUUUCUAUGUAGAUGAUGAAGAGAGGGUUCCAACGUAUCAAAAUAUACACAUGCAAAAGACCCGCAAAAAGAAAAAAGUGAUCAACAAUUGAAUAUUUCUCUGUGUACUAUAUCUAUACAUGUGUAUUUACUGUAUCUUUAUUUUGAAAUGAUUUUUAUUGGUGAUAUUAUGUACUGAAGCUUGUCGUACAUGAUUGAUUCUAUAUUGUUUAACGUACCUCUCGAGAAUCUUUCACUCAUUUGAAGACGUCACCACUGCCGGUGAAGGGCUGCAAGAUUUGGGCCAAUGCUCGGCGCUGACGGUCUUUGAGCAAGGAGGAGUCUUUGUCGUGCCACACCUACUGUGACUCGGGGCCUAGUUUUUGUUGUCUCAUCCGAAGGACCGCCCCAUUUAAUCGCCUUUUACGAUAAGCAAGGAAUAAUGGGGACCUAUUCUAACCCGGAUCUCCACGGGAUGCCGUACGUGCUAUUUCCAACAUUUACCAGUUUUCAAUCUUCUGAUUUUUUCACUAUUUUCGCCUCCUUCAUAAAUUAUUCACAGUACUUAGAGUAGAUAAAGACUGUUACAAGGGCGUAAUAAAGGACAGGUUUACCUCUACAGAUGUGGGGGGGGGGGGGGGUAUAUGUAUGUUACAAGGGCGUAAUAAAGGACAGGUUUACCUCAUACAGCUCUGUGUGUGUGUGGGGGGGGGGGGGGGGGGGUAUAUGUAUAUGUAUGUUACAAGGGCGUAAUAAAGGACAGGUUUACUUCAUACAGAUGUGUGGUGGUGGGGGGGGGGGGGGGUAUAUGUAUGUUACAAGGGCGUAAUAAAGGACAGGUUUACCUCAUACAGAUAUGGGGGGUAUAUGUAUAAUAAUGUCCCCUUCUCAUUUUCUUUUAAUUUCACAAGUAAACUUUAUAAAACAGAAUUUAUCACUUUGGUUGCUAGACCUCUGACCGAAUCAAUUGUUAAGCCGUUCUUUGCAUACUGAUUAUGCCUCUCCUCUUCCAGGGGAAAGAUGUUUAUGUCCUUAUGUCUGUCACAAAGCCUUGUGAAUGCUUCUCCUUCGGUAUGGCUUAUCGAAUAGACUUGAAACUUUGUACAAUACUUCAUUUGCAAUUUUACAAUACUUCAUUGUGCAUAUUGUCGGAACGUGAGAAUCCAAUUAUUUUUCUAAAAGUUAUAGUAGAUCUAAGAGGGGUGGAGGAUGUGAAAUAGCUUGUGAACACUUCUCCUACCGUAGAUGACUUAUCCAAUAGACUUGAAACUUAGUACAAUACAUUGUACUUCAUUGCCAUUUGCAGAUGUGCAUAUUGUCAGGAUAGUUAUCCUUAAAGUUAUAGUGGAUCUAAGAUGGGUGUAAAAUAGCUUGUGAACACCUCUCCAACAUGGCUUAGCGGAUUGCAUUGAGAUUUUAUUUUAUUUUUUUACAAUACUCCAUUAUCGUUUAAUGAUGUUCAAAUUGUUCUGACCAAGGGCCUAAUAUUUCCUACAAUUUACAGUGGAUCAAAGAAAAAUGUUUUAUAUCUUUUUCGUGUACAAGGGUAUGUUCACUUUCCAACUCAUAGUUCAGUAAAACAGUAAUUAUUAGGACCCUGCAUGAACUGCGGAAGCCCUAUAAUUAUCACAUUGUCCGUCCGUCUGUCCGUCAAUACUUUCUUUGUGACACGAUAGCUCAAACAGUUUUCAUUGUACAGUUUUCAAAUUUUGUACAGAAAUAUUUUACAUUUAGAUGAAAACAUCUAUUGAUUUCGGGGUCCUGUCUCUUUGUCUGUAUGUAUGUCAUCAUCUUUCUUUUGAUGACUAUCUAUUUACCACUGUCUAAGGGAGAUAAUUCAAUUUGAAUUAUGAUAUAUUGUAUUAAUAUAGAACAUUUACCCCCAAAAACCCAGGGCCGUAAAUUACAUGGAGGCGGAGGAGGCAGCUGCCUCCUCCAACUUUUGAGCCAAAAAAAAUUAAAAUUUAAAGUUCAUUAGAAUUUAUGUUGUUUCCAAUAACUAAGAACAUGAUACCCCCUUAAAAAGCAUUCCAAAUCUUUCUUUUAGAAUGAGUUAGUCAAGUAACAUCUUAGAAGGCCCUAGAAUCAAGGAUUUUGCACGAAACGUGUUCAGUGUGCACAAAAUGUGCUCAGCGUCUGGGGGCCGCCCAGGCCCCCAGACCCCCGCCUAAUUUCCUGCCUCCUCCAAAUUGAAGGUUAAUUUACGGCCCUGAAACCUCUACAACAUUGUGUAUAUGUAUAUUGUUUAUAUGAUAUAAAAGAUGAUUGGUGUUACAUGUAUAUUAAAUUCAUUGUGCGUCAUUCCCAGUCAACUCUCGAUCGGGAAUACGAAAUUGAAUUUCUGACAUUUGUUUGCAAAGUGGAACUGCUUCAUUGAAUUAUGAACUAAUUGCACAUUACACCUGAGAUAAAUGUUCCUUUUAAUAAAAGAAAGUCACAAAA